rnacentral:rRNA from 1 species
UGGGGAAUCUUGCACAAUGGGGGAAACCCUAUGCAGCGACGCCGCGUGAGCGAUGAAGCCCUUCGGGGUGUAAAGCUCUUUCGACGGGGACGAUAAUGACGGUACCCGAAGAAGAAGCUGCGGCUAACUACGUGCCAGCAGCCGCGGUAAUACGUAGGCAGCAAGCGUUGUUCGGAAUUACUGGGCGUAAAGAGUGCGUAGGCGGUUUGGCAAGUUUGGUGUGAAAUCUCCCGGCUUAACUGGGAGGGUGCGCCGAAAACUGCCAGGCUAGAGUGUGGGAGAGGGAAGUGGAAUUCCUGGUGUAGCGGUGAAAUGCGUAGAUAUCAGGAGGAACACCUGCGGUGUAGACGGCUUCCUGGACCACUACUGACGCUGAGGCACGAAAGCGUGGGGAGCAAACA